AUUGAACGCUGGCGGCGUGCUUAACACAUGCAAGUCGAACGUGAAAGUUCCUUCGGGGAUGAGUAAAGUGGCGCACGGGUGAGUAACGCGUGGAUAAUCUACCUGUAUCACCGGAAUAACGGUUGGAAACGACUGCUAAUGCCGGAUAGUCUCGUCAGGGUAAAGGGGGGCCUCUGCUUGCAAGCUUCCGGGUACAGAUGAGUCCGCGUCUGAUUAGCUUGUUGGUGAGGUAAUGGCUCACCAAGGCAACGAUCAGUAGCAGGUUUGAGAGGAUGACCUGCCACACUGGGACUGGAACACGGCCCAGACUCCUACGGGAGGCAGCAGUGGGGAAUAUUGCGCAAUGGGCGAAAGCCUGACGCAGCGACGCCGCGUGGAGGAUGAAGGCUCUCGAGUCGUAAACUCCUGUCAAGAGGGAAGAACCAUACAUGGAAUAAUACGCUGUGUAUCUGACGGUACCUCUAGAGGAAGCACCGGCGAACUCCGCGCCAGCAGCCGCGGUAAUACGGAGGGUGCAAGCGUUAAUCGGAAUCACUGGGCGUAAAGCGCACGUAGGCUGCCUUUUAAGUCAGGUGUGAAAGCCCCCGGCUCAACCGGGGAAUUGCACUUGAUACUGGAAGGCUUGAGUUCAGGAGAGGGUGGCGGAAUUCCAGGUGUAGGAGUGAAAUCCGUAGAUAUCUGGAGGAACAUCAGUGGCGAAGGUGGCCACCUGGACUGAUACUGACGCUGAGGUGCGAAAGCGUGGGGGAGCAAACAGGAUUAGAUACCCUGGUAGUCCACGCUGUAAACGAUGGAUACUAGGUGUCGGGAGCAUGACUUUCGGUGCCGUAGCUAACGCGUUAAGUAUCCCGCCUGGGGAGUACGGUCGCAAGGCUGAAACCCCAAGAAAUUGACGGGGGCCCCC
rnacentral:rRNA from 1 species